rnacentral:rRNA from 1 species
GACGAACGCUGGCGGCGUGCUUAACACAUGCAAGUCGAACGGAAAGGCCCUGCUUGCAGGGUACUCGAGUGGCGAACGGGUGAGUAACACGUGGGUGAUCUGCCCUGCACUUCGGGAUAAGCCUGGGAAACUGGGUCUAAUACCGGAUAGGAGCCAUUUUUAGUGUGAUGGUUGGAAAGUUUUUUCGGUGUAGGAUGAGCUCGCGGCCUAUCAGCUUGUUGGUGGGGUAAUGGCCUACCAAGGCGGCGACGGGUAGCCGGCCUGAGAGGGUGGACGGCCACAUUGGGACUGAGAUACGGCCCAGACUCCUACGGGCGGCAGCAGUGGGGAAUAUUGCACAAUGGGCGCAAGCCUGAUGCAGCGACGCCGCGUGGGGGAUGACGGCCUUCGGGUUGUAAACUCCUUUCGCUAGGGACGAAGCUUUUUGUGACGGUACCUAGAUAAGAAGCACCGGCUAACUACGUG